rnacentral:rRNA from 1 species
CCCGCUGAACUUAAGCAUAUCAAUCAGCGGAGGAGAAGAAACUAACAAGGAUUCCCCUAGUAGCGGCGAGCGAAACGGGAUUAGCCCACGGUCAAAAUCUGGAGUUUGUCCUCUGCCAUACCAAAAAACAAAAAAAAAAAAAGAAAGAAAGACCCAGCACCACCUGCCCCCCACUACACACCCCAACACCCAACCCUCCCAAAAUCUUUUUUUUUGCGGGGGUGGGUUCGUGAGAAAAAGGUGGUUCUGAUUUUUCUUCUUUUUCUUUUUUAUUUUUUGGGGCCGCAGUUUCAAUUGGACGUUAAGCUCCCGAUGUGUAACCUGAGGAAAUGGCCUUCCGACACCACAGACCAAAAACUUUCAUCGCCCUUGAAAAAGGGGGUCAGAGAGGGUGACAAUCCCGUGAGAUAGUUGAAAUGUUUUUCGGAGCCUGUCCUGGUGGAACCGAUGCUGGCCCUCUUUCCGCACGAGUAGGGUUGCUUGGAAUCGCAACUUGAAGAGAGGUGGGAAAUUCCAUCUAAGGCUAAAUAUUCCAACGAAAGAUCGAGAGCGAACAGGUACCGCGAGGGAAAGUUGCAAAGAACUCUGAAAAGAGAGUUCAAAGAAUUUGAAAUCGUUGUGGGGGGAAGGGAAUGGGAGGGGACUUUUUUUUUUUUUAAAAAAAACUUUUUUUUGGCAGGGACUUUUUCCCCCUUUUCCCCCCUUUCCCGGGAGGGGGGGGAAAAGGGAAGUUCUUUGUCCCGGUUUUCAAAUUGGUCAGCAUGGUUCCUGGGGGGGGGGGACAAAAUUGGGGGGGAAGGGGUUUUUUUUUUUUUCCCAUUCUUUUAUGUUGGGGAAGGGAAAGGGGCCCUCUUACCCCCCCUUUUUUUCUUUCCCAUCCCGGAGAUUGAGGCCCGGGUUUUUGAAUAAGAUGUGUGUGUUUUUUUUUUCCUUCCAACGCUCCAAUACUUUUUUUUUUUUUUUUUUCUUUCCCCCCCCCCCCCUUUUUACUAUUUUUCCUUCCUCUCGCUCUAUCUUAGUGUGAGAGGAAGUGAGAGUUGAUGUUGUGGGGGGGGGGGGGGUUGGUGGAGAUUUGAAAGAUGUGGAGGAUGUUGUUGGGGUAAUAUUCUCACCCAAAAAAUCGAGAUGCCUGACACAAAAUGGUGAAACGUCCUGUUCGACCCGUCUUGAAACACGG